UCGUCAGAUCAACGCUGGCGGCGUGCCUAACACAUGCAAGUCGAACGAGAAAGGGACUUCGGUCCUGAGUAAAGUGGCGCACGGGUGAGUAACACGUGACUAACCUACCCUUGAGUGGGGAAUAACUAGGAGAAAUCUUAGCUAAUACCGCAUAAUACCUACGGGUCAAAGGAGCAAUUCGCUUAAGGAGGGGGUCGCGGCAGAUUAGUUAGUUGGCGGGGUAAUGGCCCACCAAGACAGUGAUCUGUAUCCGGCCUGAGAGGGCGCACGGACACACUGGAACUGAAACACGGUCCAGACUCCUACGGGAGGCAGCAGUGGGGAAUUUUGCGCAAUGGGGGAAACCCUGACGCAGCAACGCCGCGUGGAGGAUGAAGUCCCUUGGGACGUAAACUCCUUUCGAUCGGGACGAUAAUGACGGUACCGAGAGAAGAAGCCCCGGCUAACUUCGUGCCAGCAGCCGCGGUAAUACGAGGGGGGCGAGCGUUGUUCGGAAUUAUUGGGCGUAAAGGGUGCGUAGGCGGUUCGGUAAGUCUUGUGUGAAAUCUUCGGGCUCAACUCGAAGUCUGCACCAGAAACUGCCGGGCUUGAGUAUGGGAGAGGUGAGUGGAAUUUCCGGUGUAGCGGUGAAAUGCGUAGAUAUCGGAAGGAACACCUGUGGCGAAAGCGGCUCACUGGACCAUAACUGACGCUGAUGCACGAAAGCUAGGGGAGCAAACAGGAUUAGAUACCCUGGUAGUCCUAGCCCUAAACGAUGAUCGCUUGGUGUGACGGGUACCCAAUCCCGCCGUGCCGAAGCUAACGCGUAAGCGAUCCGCCU
rnacentral:rRNA from 1 species